rnacentral:rRNA from 1 species
UACGGAGGGGGCUAGCGUUGUUCGGAAUUACUGGGCGUAAAGCGCACGUAGGCGGAUGUUUAAGUCGGGGGUGAAAUCCCGGGGCUCAACCCCGGAACUGCCCUCGAUACUGGAUGUCUGGAGGUCGAGAGAGGCGAGUGGAAUUCCGAGUGUAGAGGUGAAAUUCGUAGAUAUUCGGAGGAACACCAGUGGCGAAGGCGGCUCGCUGGCUCGAUACUGACGCUGAGGUGCGAAAGCGUGGGGAGCAAACAGG